UACGUAGGUGGCAAGCGUUGUCCGGAAUUAUUGGGCGUAAAGCGCGCGCAGGCGGUCCUUUAAGUCUGAUGUGAAAGCCCACGGCUCAACCGUGGAGGGUCAUUGGAAACUGGGGGACUUGAGUGCAGAAGAAGAAAGCGGAAUUCCACGUGUAGCGGUGAAAUGCGUAGAGAUGUGGAGGAACACCAGUGGCGAAGGCGGCUUUCUGGUCUGUAACUGACGCUGAGGCGCGAAAGCGUGGGGAGCAAACAGG
rnacentral:rRNA from 1 species